UUGAUGAGAAAAAGUUAAAAAUUAUGGUUAGAACGUUUAUGAAAAACCGUGAUUAUAAAUUAACUAGGGCGGUCUGAUAUG